GCCCCUGUAGCUUAAUGGAUAAAGUAGCGGUCUUCGGAACCGCUGAUCCGGGUUCGACUCCUGGCAGGGGCA
rnacentral:tRNA from 3 species